AGGGUUUGAUUAUGGCUCAGAACGAACGCUGGCGGCGUGGAUAAGACAUGCAAGUUGAGCGAUGAACUGAUGAUAGCAAUAUUUGAUGGGAUUAGCAGCGAACGGGUGAGUAACACGUAGGAAUCUGCCCCAAAGCUCAGGAUAGCCUGGUGAAAGCCAGGGUAAUACGGAAUGUGAUCUUCGGAUUAAAGGCCUUCGGGUCACUUUGGGAUGAGCCUGCGUUCCAUCAGCUUGUUGGUAGGGUAAAAGCCUACCAAGGCAAUGACGGAUAGCUGGUCUGAGAGGACGGUCAGCCACACUGGAACUGAGACACGGUCCAGACACCUACGGGUGGCAGCAGUCGAGAAUCAUUCACAAUGGGCGAAAGCCUGAUGGUGCGACGCCGCGUGGGGGAUGAAGGCCCUAGGGUCGUAAACCCCUGUCGGUUGCGAGUAAGGCCCUACUUACGUAGGGAUUGAUAUUAGCAACAAAGGAAGGGACGGCUAACUCCGUGCCAGCC
rnacentral:rRNA from 1 species